AACGAACGCUGGCGGCAUGCCUAACACAUGCAAGUCGAACGAAGGCUUCGGCCUUAGUGGCGCACGGGUGCGUAACGCGUGGGAAUCUGCCCUUAGGUUCGGAAUAACCAUUGGAAACGAUGGCUAAUACCGGAUGAUGACGUAAGUCCAAAGAUUUAUCGCCUGAGGAUGAGCCCGCGUAGGAUUAGCUAGUUGGUGUGGUAAGAGCGCACCAAGGCGACGAUCCUUAGCUGGUCUGAGAGGAUGAUCAGCCACACUGGGACUGAGACACGGCCCAGACUCCUACGGGAGGCAGCAGUGGGGAAUAUUGGACAAUGGGCGCAAGCCUGAUCCAGCAAUGCCGCGUGAGUGAUGAAGGCCUUAGGGUUGUAAAGCUCUUUUACCCGGGAUGAUAAUGACAGUACCGGGAGAAUAAGCUCCGGCUAACUCCGUGCCAGCAGCCGCCGUAACAC
rnacentral:rRNA from 1 species